UACGUCGGGGGCAAGCGUUGUCCGGAUUUAUUGGGCGUAAAGAGCGUGUAGGCGGCUUUGCAAGUCCGUUGUGAAAACUCGAGGCUCAACCUCGAGACGCCGGUGGAAACUGCAAAGCUAGAGUCCGGAAGAGGAGAGUGGAAUUCCUGGUGUAGCGGUGAAAUGCGCAGAUAUCAGGAAGAACACCCGUGGCGAAGGCGGCUCUCUGGGACGGUACUGACGCUGAGACGCGAAAGCGUGGGGAGCGAACAGG
rnacentral:rRNA from 1 species